rnacentral:lncRNA from 1 species
ACAGGAGUUACUCUGAUAUGCAUUAGAUAUUAAUAUGCACAUUUGAAUGAGGAGUCGGGUUUCAAGUCACAAUAAAAACCACUUGUAAAGAAUUUUCUCCUGAAUUCAAAUCUUUAAAACAGCCACAACAGAUUAAAUUAUUUUUUUAAGGAAGGUUUUAGAACUUUCGAUUCACUUGUGUGGAGGAAAAGGUGAAUGUGAAACAAAGUUUGCUUUUCCUUCUAUCUAAGCAUGUUCUAUCAUACUUGUGGCUCUACUCCUGCAUUGCCAGUGCUGCCAGGUUGCUUAAGAGGUAACAGACUGACCGUGGGAGGAAUAAGGACAUUUUGGUACUGCUGUGCCUCUUGAACGAACCUGAUGAGAACCAGGACUUUCUGUGGAUGAACAGGAUGCAGCUUGCAAAGAGAAGUCUGUGGCACUCCCUUUCAUAUCCCAUCCCUUCUGGCUCUGUCCGUGAGGAGGUAAGACAAGGUGAUGUGCGUCUUUCUGACUGGAGGUUCUCUGUGUUCAUAUUGUUUAUACAGAGACCAGAUUGUGAUGAUGUGAGGGUUGAGACUAGUGAAAUUAUUAGGUCUCUUUUCACUAAAGAUAGCGCAUCUGUAAUCAUUCCAAAGGAGUAAAUCGGCAUGCAAUAGCAAUGUAUUCAUUUUAGAGACAAUCCACUUUCCUGUUUUGUUUAAAGGAAUCUUAAAAUUAUUUGUUCCAUUUCUUUGAAAAAGAUGGAUGGUACUUUGAUAGGAAUUGCAUUAAAUGUAAAGGAAUCAUGGUUCCUAUGGUGUGUUCUGUAUGAAAUGCAUUGCAUUUCAGGAUAAUGCUGUUGACCACCAGGGAAGACAGAACAAUUGAGACUGUGUGCCAAAUAAUCUCCCGUAAUAGUAGACUUGUGCUCUCUUCAUUUGACCUUUGAUCGCCCAGAAGUUAUGGGCUGGGGUACACUGGAACACUGUGCAACGCCCUGGGUCUUCCAAGUCUUGGCAUCUGCUUGGGGCUUAAUGACCCACAUCACUCCUGGCAGUGGUGCUUUGGAUUUACAGCAGCGGUGCUGGUUCAUGUGGGUAAUGGAAACGGUU